UACAGAGGGUGCAAGCGUUAAUCGGAAUUACUGGGCGUAAAGCGUGCGUAGACGGUUAUGUAAGUCAGAUGUGAAAGCCCCGGGCUUAACCUGGGAAUGGCAUUUGAGACUGCAUAGCUAGGGUGCGGAAGAGGGAAGCGGAAUUUCCGGUGUAGCGGUGAAAUGCGUAGAUAUCGGAAGGAACACCAGUGGCGAAAGCGGCUUCCUGGUCCAGCACAGACGUUCAGGCACGAAAGCGUGGGGAGCAAACAGG
rnacentral:rRNA from 1 species